AACGAACGCUGGCGGCAUGCCUAACACAUGCAAGUCGAACGAGACCUUCGGGUCUAGUGGCGCACGGGUGCGUAACGCGUGGGAACCUGCCCUUAGGUUCGGAAUAACUCCCCGAAAGGGGUGCUAAUACCGGAUAAUGUCUUCGGACCAAAGAUUUAUCGCCUUUGGAUGGGCCCGCGUUGGAUUAGCUAGUUGGUAGGGUAAAAGCCUACCAAGGCGACGAUCCAUAGCUGGUCUGAGAGGAUGAUCAGCCACACUGGGACUGAGACACGGCCCAGACUCCUACGGGAGGCAGCAGUGGGGAAUAUUGGACAAUGGGCGGAAGGCUGAUCCAGCAAUGCCGCGUGAGUGAUGAAGGCCUUAGGGUUGUAAAGCUCUUUUACCCGGGAUGAUAAUGACGGUACCGGGAGAAUAAGCUCCGGCUAACUCCGUG
rnacentral:rRNA from 1 species